AAGAAUCUUUAUAUUUAGUAUAAUAAGGAAAAAUUUAGUAUUGUGAUAGUGAAUUAGUACUGUAGAGGAAUUAAGGGUUAUUUUUGUUAUUCUUUAAUAAGUAUACUUUAUUUGUAGUACCUUUUGUAUCAGGGUUAAUUAAAAUUUUUAAUUUAUUUUAAGUUCUCGAUUUCAGAAGAGCUAAAAUUUUAUAUUAGUUAGUGUGUCAUAAUUAUUAAUAAUAUAUUUUAGAAGAGAAAUUCUAUUCGGCUUUGAAGGUAUCUAGUUUUUUAAGAAAUAAAUUUAAUUUACCUUUAAUAUUUAAAUUUCACAUUAUUUUGUAUUUUAUUUAUUAAAAUAAAUAUUGUAGGGGAUAAGCUCUACAUUUUUCUAUAAAGAUUAAUUUAAUAUAUUUUUGUAGGUUUAAGAAUAUCCAUCACUGAUAAGUUUGUUAUAAUAUAUUUAUAUUAUUAAUUAAUUUAAUUUUUUUUAGUUUUCUAUUAAAAUUUUUUAAUUAAUUUAAUAUUUUUAGUAAUAAUGAUUAAAUUAGUAUAAUAAUUUGUUUAAAAUGAUUUAUUUUUAAUGAUAAAAUAAGGAACUCGGCAAAAUUUAUUCUCGCCUGUUUAACAAAAACAUGUCCUUUUGAAUUUAAUUUAAGGUCUGACCUGCCCGGUGAUUUAUUUAACGGCCGCGGUAUCUUGACCGUGCAAAGGUAGCAUAAUCAUUAGUCUUUUAAUAGAGGGCUGGAAUGAAAGGUUUGACGAAGGAUAGACUGUCUCAUUUUAUUUGUAUUAAAAUUUAAUUUUUUAGUCAAAAAGCUAAAAUUUUAUUGGAAGACGAGAAGACCCUAUAGAUCUUUAUAUUACUUUAUUUAUAAAUUUUUAUAUAAAUAUUUAUAUUUUUAGUUUUAUUUUGUUGGGGUGACAAAAAUAUAUGAUUAACUUUUUUAUUUAAUUUACAUUGAUUAGUGAUUAUUUGAUCCAUUAUUAGUGAUUAUUAGAACAAGUUACCUUAGGGAUAACAGCGUAAUCCUCCUUUGAAGUUCUUAUUUACAGGAUGGGCU
rnacentral:rRNA from 1 species